rnacentral:rRNA from 1 species
AACGAACGCUGGCGGCAUGCCUAACACAUGCAAGUCGAACGAGACCUUCGGGUCUAGUGGCGCACGGGUGCGUAACGCGUGGGAACCUGCCCUUAGGUUCGGAAUAACUCCCCGAAAGGGGUGCUAAUACCGGAUAAUGUCUUCGGACCAAAGAUUUAUCGCCUUUGGAUGGGCCCGCGUUGGAUUAGCCGGUUGGUAGGGUAAAAGCCUAUCAAGGCGACGAUCCAUAGCUGGUCGGAGAGGAUGAUCAGCCACACUGGGACUGAGACACGGCCCAGACUCCGACGGGAGGCAGCAGUGGGGAAUAUUGGACGAUGGGGGAAGGCCUGAUCCAGCAAUGCCGCGUGAGUGAUGAAGGCCUUAGGGUUGUAAAGCUCUUUUACCCGGGAUGAUAAUGACAGUACCGGGAGAAUAAGCUCCGGCUAACUCCGUG